GAUGAACGCUGGCGGCGUGCCUAAUACAUGCAAGUCGAGCGAACAGACGAGGAGCUUGCUCCUCUGACGUUAGCGGCGGACGGGUGAGUAACACGUGGAUAACCUACCUGUAAGACUGGGAUAACUUCGGGAAACCGGAGCUAAUACCGGAUAAUAUAUUGAACCGCAUGGUUCAAUAGUGAAAGACGGUUUUGCUGUCACUUAUAGAUGGAUCCGCGCCGCAUUAGCUAGUUGGUAAGGUAACGGCUUACCAAGGCGACGAUGCGUAGCCGACCUGAGAGGGUGAUCGGCCACACUGGAACUGAGACACGGUCCAGACUCCUACGGGAGGCAGCAGUAGGGAAUCUUCCGCAAUGGGCGAAAGCCUGACGGAGCAACGCCGCGUGAGUGAUGAAGGUCUUCGGAUCGUAAAACUUUGUUAUUAGGGAAGAACAAAUGUGUAAGUAACUAUGCACGUCUUGACGGUACCUAAUCAGAAAGCCACGGCUAACUACGUG
rnacentral:rRNA from 1 species